rnacentral:piRNA from 1 species
UUCAUCUGUCUCCUCUGCCACUAAG